rnacentral:rRNA from 1 species
CCUACGGGAGGCAGCAGUGGGGAAUAUUGGACAAUGGGCGAAAGCCUGAUCCAGCCAUGCCGCGUGUGUGAAGAAGGCCUUCGGGUUGUAAAGCACUUUCAGUGGGGAAGAAAGCCUUGGGGCUAAUACCCUCGAGGAAGGACAUUACCCACAGAAGAAGCACCGGCUAACUCCGUGCCAGCAGCCGCGGUAAUACGGAGGGUGCAAGCGUUAAUCGGAAUUACUGGGCGUAAAGCGCGCGUAGGCGGUCUGAUAAGCCGGUUGUGAAAGCCCCGGGCUCAACCUGGGAACUGCAUCCGGAACUGUCAGGCUAGAGUGCAGGAGAGGAAGGUAGAAUUCCCGGUGUAGCGGUGAAAUGCGUAGAGAUCGGGAGGAAUACCAGUGGCGAAGGCGGCCCUCUGGACUGACACUGACGCUGAGGUGCGAAAGCGUGGGUAGCAAACAGGAUUAGAUACCCCAGUAGUC